GAGUUUGAUCGUGGCUCAGGAUGAACGCUGGCGGCGUGCCUAAUACAUGCAAGUCGAGCGAACGGACGAGAAGCUUGCUUCUCUGAUGUUAGCGGCGGACGGGUGAGUAACACGUGGAUAACCUACCUAUAAGACUGGGAUAACUUCGGGAAACCGGAGCUAAUACCGGAUAAUAUUUUGAACCGCAUGGUUCAAAAGUGAAAGACGGUCUUGCUGUCACUUAUAGAUGGAUCCGCGCUGCAUUAGCUAGUUGGUAAGGUAACGGCUUACCAAGGCAACGAUGCAUAGCCGACCUGAGAGGGUGAUCGGCCACACUGGAACUGAGACACGGUCCAGACUCCUACGGGAGGCAGCAGUAGGGAAUCUUCCGCAAUGGGCGAAAGCCUGACGGAGCAACGCCGCGUGAGUGAUGAAGGUCUUCGGAUCGUAAAACUCUGUUAUUAGGGAAGAACAUAUGUGUAAGUAACUGUGCACAUCUUGACGGUACCUAAUCAGAAAGCCACGGCUAACU
rnacentral:rRNA from 1 species